UGGGGAAUAUUGGACAAUGGGCGCAAGCCUGAUCCAGCCAUGCCGCGUGAGUGAUGAAGGCCUUAGGGUUGUAAAGCUCUUUCGGCGGGGACGAUAAUGACGGUACCCGCAGAAGAAGCCCCGGCUAACUUCGUGCCAGCAGCCGCGGUAAUACGAAGGGGGCUAGCGUUGCUCGGAAUCACUGGGCGUAAAGGGCGCGUAGGCGGACAUUUAAGUCGGGGGUGAAAGCCCAGGGCUCAACCCUGGAAUUGCCUCCGAUACUGGGUGUCUCGAGACCGGAAGAGGUGAGUGGAACUGCGAGUGUAGAGGUGAAAUUCGUAGAUAUUCGCAAGAACACCAGUGGCGAAGGCGGCUCACUGGUCCGGUUCUGACGCUGAGGCGCGAAAGCGUGGGGAGCAAACAGGAUUAGAUACCCUGGUAGUCCACGCCGUAAACGAUGGAUGCUAGCCGUUGGCAGGCUUGCCUGUCAGUGGCGCAGCUAACGCUUUAAGCAUCCCGCCUGGGGAGUACGGCCGCAAGGUUAAAACUCAAAUGAAUUGACGGGGUCAUAGCUG
rnacentral:rRNA from 1 species